UGAAUGGCGGUGGUGGAGCUCCAAAGGCAGGCAUUCAGGGCGGUGGUGGAGGGAGAAUGCCAGGCAUGAGUGCCGGUGGUGGAGCUACAAUGCCAGGCAUGCAGGGCGGUGCUGGAGGGAGAAUGCCAGGCAUGAAUGG